GAUAAACGCUGGCGGCGCACAUAAGACAUGCAAGUUGAACGGACUUAAUCGAAAUAUUUAUAUUUUGAAGCGGUUAGUGGCGGACUGGUGAGUAACGCGUAAGGAACCUGCCUAUUAGAGGGGAAUAACAGUGAGAAAUCAUUGCUAAUACCGCAUAUGCCAUAGAUAUCACAUGAUAACAGUGUGAAAGGAGCAAUCCGCUAAUAGAUGGCCUUGCGUCUGAUUAGAUAGUUGGUGGGGUAACGGCCUACCAAGUCGACGAUCAGUAGCCGGACUGAGAGGUUGAACGGCCACAUUGGGACUGAGAUACGGCCCAGACUCCUACGGGAGGCAGCAGUCGGGAAUAUUGCGCAAUGGAGGAAACUCUGACGCAGUGACGCCGCGUAUAGGAAGAAGGUUUUCGGAUUGUAAACUAUUGUCGUUAGGGAAGAGAAAGGACAGUACCUAAGGAGGAAGCUCCGGCUAACUACGUG
rnacentral:rRNA from 1 species